AUGCUCACUUCAGCAGCACAUAUACUAAAACUAGAAUGAUACAGAGAACAUUAACAUGACCCCUGCACAAGGAUGACACGCAACAUCCUAAAAAAAAUUCAU